GUUGGGAAUCUUGGACAAUGGGGGAAACCCUGAUCCAGCCAUGCCGCGUGAGUGAUGAAGGCCUUCGGGUUGUAAAACUCUUUCGACGGGGACGAUAAUGACGGUACCCGUAGAAGAAGCUCCGGCUAACUUCGUGCCAGCAGCCGCGGUAAUACGAAGGGGGCUAGCGUUGUUCGGAAUUACUGGGCGUAAAGCGCGCGCAGGCGGCUAUCCAAGUCAGUGGUGAAAGCCCGGAGCUCAACUCCGGAACUGCCAUUGAAACUGUUUAGCUUGAGGACGAGAGAGGUGAGUGGAAUUCCCAGUGUAGAGGUGAAAUUCGUAGAUAUUGGGAAGAACACCGGUGGCGAAGGCGGCUCACUGGCUCGUAUCUGACGCUCAGGCGCGAUAGCGUGGGGAUCAAACAGGAUUAGAAACCCCAGUAGUCC
rnacentral:rRNA from 1 species